rnacentral:tRNA from 1 species
GGGGCUAUAGCUCAGUGGUAGAGCGCUUGCCUAGCAAGCAUGAGGCCCUGAGUUCAAUCCUCAGCACCA